GUGGGGAAUAUUGGACAAUGGGGGGAACCCUGAUCCAGCCAUGCCGCGUGUGUGAAGAAGGCCUUUUGGUUGUAAAGCACUUUAAGCGAGGAGGAGGCUACCGAGAUUAAUACUCUUGGAUAGUGGACGUUACUCGCAGAAUAAGCACCGGCUAACUCUGUGCCAGCAGCCGCGGUAAUACAGAGGGUGCAAGCGUUAAUCGGAUUUACUGGGCGUAAAGCGCGCGUAGGUGGCCAAUUAAGUCAAAUGUGAAAUCCCCGAGCUUAACUUGGGAAUUGCAGUCGAUACUGGUUGGCUAGAGUAUGGGAGAGGAUGGUAGAAUUCCAGGUGUAGCGGUGAAAUGCGUAGAGAUCUGGAGGAAUACCGAUGGCGAAGGCAGCCAUCUGGCCUAAUACUGACACUGAGGUGCGAAAGCAUGGGGAGCAAACAGGAUUAGAUACCCCAGUAGUCC
rnacentral:rRNA from 1 species